UACGUAGGGGGCAAGCGUUGUCCGGAUUUAUUGGGCGUAAAGAGCGUGUAGGCGGCUUCACAGGUCUGCUGUGAAAACUCGAGGCUCAACCUCGAGCUGUCGGUGGAAACCGUGGGGCUAGAGUCCGGAAGAGGAGAGUGGAAUUCCCGGUGUAGCGGUGAAAUGCGCAGAUAUCGGGAGGAACACCAGUGGCGGAGGCGGCUCACUGGCCCGUAACUGACGCUCAUGCACGACAGCGUGGGGAUCAAACAGG
rnacentral:rRNA from 1 species